rnacentral:rRNA from 1 species
CAGGGAUUCCCCUAGUAACGGCGAGUGAAGCGGGAACAGCUCAAAUUUGAAAUCUGGCCCUCGGGUCCGAGUUGUAAUUUGUAGAGGAUGCUUUUGGUGCGGUGCCUUCCGAGUUCCCUGGAACGGGACGCCACAGAGGGUGAGAGCCCCGUAUGGUUGGACACCUAGCCUCUGUAAAGCUCCUUCGACGAGUCGAGUAGUUUGGGAAUGCUGCUCUAAAUGGGAGGUAAAUUUCUUCUAAAGCUAAAUACUGGCCAGAGACCGAUAGCGCACAAGUAGAGUGAUCGAAAGAUGAAAAGCACUUUGAAAAGGGGGUUAAAUAGCACGUGAAAUUGUUGAAAGGGAAGCGUUUAUCACCAGACUUUUUCUGGGGGGAUCAUCCGGUGUUCUCACCGGUGCACUUCCCCCAGUGGAGGCCAGCAUCGGUUUUCGGAGGGGGAUAAAAGCUUCGGGAAUGUGACUCCCUCGGGAGUGUUAUAGCCCGUUGCAUAAUACCCUUCUGGGGACCGAGG